GGAGGGACUGAACUUUGAAGACAUGCCAUAGCUCUGGCAGGACACUAGAUCAUUCUUCUAUAGAUAAUUAUAAUUGUUUUGAUGGGACGUGGAGGGGAGAAUUUGGAGGCCUGCCAGGGCUUUGGCAGGUCGUUGGGAUACUCCCUGCCUGAAAUCAAAAGUGGAAUUUUACAGCUGCAAUCAGAAGAGUUGAGAACAAAGACAGAGAUUUCUCCAGAGUAACUUCGAGUCAACAAAGCUGUAAGGCACAAAAGGAUCAGGAAUAAUUAAUAGGAACAUAAUAUUUGAUAAAGAAUUAGAGGAACAAUUGGUGGAAAUUAAAACCUCACACAGGAAGAAGAAAGGAGAACUUCACUUGCGAAUUUACAAAUGAUUAUAUGUGUUAAUGCGAAUUGAAGUUAAUAAUUGUACCUGUGAUAUAAGGUAUGUGGGGCUGUUGAAGAGGAUGCACCUAUGGUGAAGGAUAUUGUGUCUCUGGGAAAUUCCAUAGGCUUGGAAGUGAGUGGUGAUGAUGAUAAGGAGUUAGUGGAGGAGCACAAGACUGAGCUCAUCACAGAAGAACUUCAAAACUUUCUGAUAGAGCAGCAACAGGUGGCAACUGGGGAAAUGUUUUCAAAGGAGGAGAGGAGCAGAGAGAGUGUAUCUACUGUAGUGAUCAAAGAAAUGUUUGCAAAAUGGGCCGAAGUGCAAACUUUUGUCGAAAAAUAUCACCCCGAUAAAGCUGCUGUAAGUCAUGCCACUAACACUUUCAAUGAUAACGCUAUGUCUCACUUCAGACAAAUUUUAAAACAUUGGCAAAAGCAAGUCUCAAUUGAAAAAGCUUUGGUGAGGAAAAGAUCCAGCGAGUCUGAACCAGGUGUCAGUGGUGUAAAAAAAAAAAGCAAGAGAAGGAAUGGCAGGAGAGGAGUCACCGAUUGAGAUUUUGGAAGAGGACCCUGACCCCCCAUCCAAACAAUGACUAUCAUCAGUGCAGCAACAUCUGCCCAGCCUGUUGCAUCCUUGGGAUGGAGGAAUACAAGGCAGAUGUGCGCCAUCACUUCCCACAGCUGCUGAUAGCUCUCCUGGAGAUGAUUUCCAACUUCCUCUACGACCAGGAAUUCCUCAAAGGGGCUAAGGAACUUCUGCAUCUCAUUCUCGGCACCACUGGAGAGCAACCAGAAAUGGCCAUCGUAGACCAGCUUUUCAGACCGGAGACCUUCAGCCAGAGGUUGUCUGCCAUGGUGAAGUAAGAGGAAGAACACCGUGAGCUCCCAAUGCCUAUCAGCUGGAAUCUGAGAGGCAGCCUCCGAAAACAGGAAGACGCAAGGAGAAUGUCAUCUGCUGGGAAAGGAGCCUCACUGAAGACGACACCCGCGAUAUCAACCCACAACAUUCCAGUGACUUUGGG